UGUGUAGCUUGUAAUUUUAUUGGAGUCACUUAUAUGAAAUUUCAUUACUGGGAAGAAGCGGAAGAAGCAUUCUCACAGUGUCUUGAGAUAUCUCAAUAUAUCUUCCCAUCUGGACAUGCUCAUAUCAGUAAAGCUGAACGAAAUUUACAUGACGUCUGGCAACAAUUGUAUGGACACUGAUGAUGAAUCAGAUGACUUUGAUUUUCGGCAGCUGGAAAAACCGUACAUUAGUGUAGUGUAACAGUACAGUAUGUGUAAUCCAUUAAAUGUUACUGUUGAAUUUGCGGCGGCGUCAUCGUCAGUUUAAGUGUGUAUUUGGAUAUAGAUGGUAGUUUGUUAUUGAAUUAUGUUAUUUGGAGCUGUCGUAACCUAUUUGGUACAGUUAAUUGCAUAUAUAUGUAGAAGUGUAUUACCUGAAGUGAAUUGUUCAGAUAUUUCUCCUAAUAUAUAAAUGUUCCCUUGAGCAACAAACACAAUCGGUACAUCAGUGCUGCUUUACAUUGUAUGACCUUUCCAAAAAGUCUCUUGAUUGCU